rnacentral:rRNA from 1 species
AGAGUUUGAUCCUGGCUCAGAUUGAACGCUGGCGGCAGGCCUAACACAUGCAAGUCGAACGGUAACAGGAAACAGCUUGCUGUUUCGCUGACGAGUGGCGGACGGGUGAGUAAUGUCUGGGAAACUGCCUGAUGGAGGGGGAUAACUACUGGAAACGGUAGCUAAUACCGCAUAACGUCGCAAGACCAAAGAGGGGGACCUUCGGGCCUCUUGCCAUCGGAUGUGCCCAGAUGGGAUUAGCUAGUAGGUGGGGUAACGGCUCACCUAGGCGACGAUCCCUAGCUGGUCUGAGAGGAUGACCAGCCACACUGGAACUGAGACACGGUCCAGACUCCUACGGGAGGCAGCAGUGGGGAAUAUUGCACAAUGGGCGCAAGCCUGAUGCAGCCAUGCCGCGUGUAUGAAGAAGGCAUUCGGGUUGUAAAGUACUUUCAGCGGGGAGGAAGGGAGUAAAGUUAAUACCUUUGCUCAUUGACGUUACCCGCAGAAGAAGCACCGGCUAACUGCCGUGCCAGCAGCCGCGGUA